rnacentral:rRNA from 1 species
UACGAAGGGGGCUAGCGUUGCUCGGAUUGACUGGGCGUAAAGGGCGCGUAGGCGGUUCGUACAGUCAGACGUGAAAUUCCUGGGCUCAACCUGGGGGCUGCGUUUGAUACGUGCGGACUUGAGUGCGGAAGAGGGUCGUGGAAUUCCCAGUGUAGAGGUGAAAUUCGUAGAUAUUGGGAAGAACACCGGUGGCGAAGGCGGCGACCUGGUCCGAUACUGACGCUGAGGCGCGAAAAGCGUGGG